rnacentral:rRNA from 1 species
GAUGAACGCUAGCUACAGGCUUAACACAUGCAAGUCGAGGGGAAACGAUAGAGAAAGCUUGCUUUUUCUAGGCGUCGACCGGCGCACGGGUGAGUAACGCGUAUCCAACCUGCCCAUCACUUGGGGAUAACCUUGCGAAAGUAAGACUAAUACCCAAUGACGUCUCUAGAAGACAUCUGAAAGAGAUUAAAGAUUUAUCGGUGAUGGAUGGGGAUGCGUCUGAUUAGCUUGUUGGCGGGGUAACGGCCCACCAAGGGGACGAUCAGUAGGGGUUCUGAGAGGAACGUCCGCCACGAUGGAACUGAGACACGGUCCAAACUCCUACGGGAGGCAGCAGUGAGGAAUAUUGGUCAAUGGGCGAGAGCCUGAACCAGCCAAGUAGCGUGCAGGAUGACGGCCCUAUGGGUUGUAAACUGCUUUUAUAAGGGAAUAAAGUGAGUCUCGUGAGACUUUUUGCAUGUACCUUAUGAAUAAGGACCGGCUAAUUCCGUGCCAGCCGCCGCAGUAA